UGAGUAAAGCGGCGCACGGGUGAGUAACACGUGGGUAAUCUGCCCUGGAGUGGGGAAUAACACCGGGAAACCGGUGCUAAUACCGCAUACGAUCACAGAGUCUGCGGAUUUUGUGAUGAAAGGAGCAAUUCGCUCCAGGAGGAGCCCGCGGCUGAUUAGCUAGUUGGCGAGGUAAUGGCUCACCAAGGCUACGAUCAGUAUCCGGUCUGAGAGGACGGUCGGACACACUGGAACUGAGACACGGUCCAGACUCCUACGGGAGGCAGCAGUGGGGAAUCUUGCACAAUGGGGGAAACCCUGAUGCAGCGACGCCGCGUGAGCGAUGAAGCCCUUCGGGGUGUAAAGCUCUUUCGUCAGGGAAGAUAGUGACGGUACCUGGAGAAGCAGCUGCGGCUAACUACGUGCCAGCAGCCGCGGUAAUACGUAGGCAGCAAGCGUUGUUCGGAGUUACUGGGCGUAAAGGGUGUGUAGGCGGUUCUUUAAGUUCGCUGUGAAAUCUCCCGGCUUAACCGGGAGGGUGCGGUGAAUACUGAGGGACUAGAGUACGGGAGAGGAAAGUGGAAUUCCUGGUGUAGCGGUGAAAUGCGUAGAUAUCAGGAGGAACACCGGUGGUGUAGACGGCUUUCUGGACCGUAACUGACGCUGAGACACGAAAGCGUGGGUAGCAAACAGGAUUAGAUACCCUGGUAGUCCACGCCCUAAACGAUGCAUAUUUGGGUGUGGGCAGUUCAUU
rnacentral:rRNA from 1 species